CUGGUUUCAAAUGAGCGGCAGCUGCUGCUGUGAUCCGGACACUCUUUCCUGUUGUCAUACCAGCGUGACGCUGGUCGGGUUGGGUGGUUAAUAUCAGAAGUAUUCACUUAGGACAUCAGCUGCAGGCUAAUCCUGCUUUACAUAUACACAAGGCCAUGUGUGCAAUAAUUAAUACCAUGGCCAUAUUAUUAAAAAAUCCUUAUAACGUUCAAACCUUUUCAUUGUAUGGCAUAUAUUGUUUCGUUUAGUUCAUGCUUAUUUUCACAUGCAUCAACCCUUCACUCACAUAUUAACCCUUCAUUGACUGUCCUUUUGUGACUGAUAAACUUUUCCUGCUACCUGCAGGGAUAUGCACAUGACCAGCCCAAUAUAGGCGAGACCCUGUGGCAUUCACUAGCUGUGGACAUCUUGUGGUUGUUUAUUCUGAUUGGAUAUCGCUCUUUCCCCUGAGGAAGCGGAAGACCGCGAAACAUGUAGGGUUUAUGCGAUUUCUUUUCAAGUGCAUCUCUAUUUCAACUGAAUGAUGUUCCUUGUUACCCACAGAAUCAAUUCAACAACUGAUUGUCCCCCUCUUUUUAAGAAUUAUUUGUAUUUUUGUAUAAAUCUAUGUAAUAAUGAAUAAAGUACUUUUUGUCAUUUUAGAACAAAGAAAGUGUGCUUUCUCAUCACUAUCACCUUUUCAAAAAUACGCACCGCAAAUUAUCCCCUUUUUCUUCUCCUCUCCUAAAAUUUACAUAUACCUAUUUACUGGGUCUCAUCUCCAUACAGGGUAACAAAUGCCUCUUUAUUAUCCCCAGCUACUACUUGGGUUAAGGGAUUUUACUAUAACCCAAUUACUACUUAGCCAUUUAGGUUUCACUAAUGUUAUUAAUUAUCUAAUUUAGAUGAGAGCCCCAGUCACCUGCCAGUUGAACAUACAUUCAUCUGUGAUACAUGUUUAUGCUCUUGGUUUUCCCACUGACCCUACCUCAGUUCCCGGUUGCAGACAACCCUAGCGACCCGUGCAUUUCUAGUCGCACAUCCUCACAUGCUGGAAAUUAGUACGUUUUUUGGAGAUGGCCCCUUUUUCCAUCUCUCUUAUUGUUUCCCAUUAUUUAGGUGUUAUUCUAAAAGUUACAUAUUAUACUCGUGUCCUUCUGCAGAUCUUACUCCACUACGCAUCCGCCCCUGAAGAUUGGCUAUAAUGCCAUGAAAGGCGUCCCGGGCUUACACAGAUGCUACAUGUUUCAGUUUUAGGACCUACCUUUGGUUUAAUGAUUCUAUAUUUUUAAAUAAUGCGAGGAAUAAGUUGUUAUACAAUGUUUAUGGUUUUUGCAUCAUGCUUUUUAUAUGCACUGUCAUGUAUGUUUACUAUUAUGUAUACAUUCGAAAUCGCAUGCUCUGCUAUGUGUUUUAGACAAAUAAACGCAUCCAUAUUA